UACGUAGGGGGCAAGCGUUGUCCGGAUUUAUUGGGCGUAAAGAGCGUGUAGGCGGCCAGGUAGGUCGGUUGUGAAAAACUAGAGGCUUAACCUCUAGACGUCGACCGAAACCAUCUGGCUAGAGUCCGGAAGAGGAGAGUGGAAUUCCCAGUGUAGCGGUGAAAUGCGUAGAUAUUGGGAGGAACACCAGUGGCGAAGGCGGCUCACUGGACCGGUUCUGACGCUGAGGGCGCGAAAAGCGUGGGGGAGCAAAACGGGG
rnacentral:rRNA from 1 species